AACAAAGUGCGGCGAAUGAAGGAAUAGGAGAGCGCCGGCGGGCCGCUAACGCCGACACAAUGCGUCCGGCAACAGCUCACCGUUCACCGUUCAAGCCGGAGAACAAGCCUUGCCCAACAGCUUCACGUGCUUUCUCGCCUGCCCGCCCCGACGUCAGCAAGCACGCAGCUGCCUGCGGAACUCACUCGUCCAAAGGAGCACGCAGUGGAACGGCGCAAGCUGGCGUUCCAAGCGGAGUAUAUGGAAUCUGCAUCUGUCAGACGCGCGAAGAACAAAGUGCCCUGAAGAAAUUCGCCCCCAAAUUUCACUCAAAUUUGCGCACCUCAAGAAAUCGCUGGAGCUGCCGCCCUUUAAAUGACGAGAUGAACUCAUCAGCGUCACGUGUUUAUGAAUCGAGGCAACAGCGUGAAAACGUGCAAAUCACGUCGCUGUGGCGGCCGCAUUUACGCUUGCGAUGACUAGCCCCUCAUUAUACUUGAAAUGUCGUGGCAUAAGGAAACGUAACGGGGCUGGUUAUUCACGGCAGCUUGCCUUCAAAGGUGCCGUGAAUGAUGCCGUGUAUGAGAGUGGCUCGGUGAAAAUAUCGUAUACACUCUUGCUACCUUUAUGAGUGCGAUCUUAACAAGCCAGUUGGACCACAUUCCGGGCGAAGAAGGCACAGUAGCGCUAUAUACUUUAACAAAGCAAGCAGCACCUUGUAAUGAGGCGCAAGCUCGCGACGGCAAUAAAAGAGGCUGUGCCGACUCGCACUCUGAAUGCGUGGGGAGGCGCUGCCGCAUGAAAUUAGGCACGCGCUCCUGAGUGCGUGCAAGACAAUGGUCGGUACUCGGGCGGACGGCUUGCUUAUACGUGUCGCCGCAAGUCCUUUGGCGCGUUCGUACACUGUGCGGCGUUGCUCCUGCGUUCUGCUGUGCAGUACGCGCUCGGCGAUCCUAGCGUGCAUGUAUGCGUGAGGCAAGACGAAUGCCUUUGUCCUGCGCUCGCGCCUGCGUCUCGGGCCCUGCGGCGAGCGCGUCGAUGGCUUUUCCGAGAACUGCGCGCGCGCGUUCAAGCGAGAACAUGCGAGCGCGCGCGCCCCCCAGUUCUGCCGCUAACGAAGUGCCAGACGGAAAAGAAAAGCACUCGUAGCCCACGCUUCGUUGACAUCAUGCCUCACAACGCAACCAGCGCGGCGCUGCUGUCUCGCUGAUCUGCAGGUCACCCGUUGAAACGAAGAGCACGCAAUGCAGUCUCUCAGUAACUGUCAGCUUUACCGGAGCAUGACGAUGGCAGCUUUAAGACGGCGACAACGGCACGACAACUACACUCUGUUGGCUGAUACCUAAGACAGCUAAAAGUUGUUUUUGGAGGAGAAGCACUGAAAAUUGCUGUCGCGCUGAAAGCCCCUAACGAAAGCCUGCUAACGACAGUGCUUCACUUGACCUUGGAUUGGCUUAGUUUAAUGGCAUUAUCGACAUUACAAAUGGGACUUCGCGUAAUUCUCUCCAUCGGUCGCUUGGUCAGUCAUCACAAGAUGCCACUGAGCAUAAAACAUGUGCUUGUUGCGAGCCAGGUGCUGUAAUCACCGCAUCACGGCAGUUUCAUUGAAGGGCCGAAAUAGUGGGAGCGUGUUAUGCAACUCAACCCACAUGCGCUUAGGCAGUCACAGACGCCAAUUUGCACGUGCUUCGCGGCAGGCUAGCCUGCCAUUGCAAGCACUGCGAAUUUUUUAGCGAUAAGGGAAAAGCCGGCUUUUUAUCUGUAGCCAGGUUUCUCGUUCGAUGACUAAGUCUGAAGCAGUUGUCAGAGGCAAUGUCAGUGAAUAAGCACUCUCUACACAGCGUAAUAUGGUGUAAGCGCAUCACAAGUGAAAAAUGCGCUGUGAACGACUCACGUAAAUGCAUUUAUCAGAGGUAACGUGGGUUUUCCUGAGCUAUAUCUACAUUACAUCUCGUUCGCUCUCAACAACGAGCAUUUUUUAGCAGUAUAUGUCUCUGUGAAUUGCACUACAACCUUGAAAAUCAGUUAUUUGACUGCCUCUACACCCAUUGUUAUCUACAUAUAUCUCUUAGCUUCCACCAGAACACCUCCACCCCAUGCCCUGGUGGCUCCUUGUGCAGCACAUUCAGCCCGUUCGGCAAAUUUUCCUGCCCCAAAGCAACACCUGAUGUGCUACCAGCAAGGACGGCUCGGACGAUGAGCCAUUUGGACAAUAAAGUUCAUAUUUCCCUCUUU